UACGUAGGGUGCAAGCGUUGUCCGGAAUUAUUGGGCGUAAAGAGCUCGUAGGCGGUUUGUCGCGUCGAAUGUGAAAACCCGGGGCUCAACCCCGGGCCUGCAUUCGAUACGGGCAGACUAGAGUUCGGUAGGGGAGUCUGGAAUUCCUGGUGUAGCGGUGAAAUGCGCAGAUAUCAGGAGGAACACCGGUGGCGAAGGCGGGACUCUGGGCCGAUACUGACGCUGAGGAGCGAAGGCGUGGGGAGCGAACGGG
rnacentral:rRNA from 1 species